rnacentral:rRNA from 1 species
GACGAACCUGACAAACGUUAUUCGGAAUUACUGGGCUUAAAGGGUGCGUAGGCGGUGUGGCAAGUUGGGUGUGAAAUCCCUCGGCUCAACCGAGGAACUGCGCUCAAUACUGCCAUGCUCGAGGGAGACAGAGGUGAGCGGAACUUAGGGUGGAGCGGUGAAAUGCGUUGAUAUCCUAAGGAACACCGGUAGCGAAAGCGACUCACUGGGUCGUUUCUGACGCUGAGGCACGAAAGCUAGGGUAGCGAACGGG